GGCUACGCUGUGUCUGGGCCAACACUUCGGCACAGACGAGAUGACCAUCGUGCAGCCGAGUGCGUAAAAGUGCGUCCGUGGGUUCGGGGUUGGAUACUGAAGGUGGCGCUUGGACACUGUUGCAGAGCCUUGGAUGCGCUGAAUGCGUAAUGCCCGUCUACGCGCCUGGCUAGUUCGGAAAAAAUAAAAAUAAAUCGGAA